AUUGAACGCUGGCGGCAGGCCUAACACAUGCAAGUCGAACGAGUGGCGGACGGGUGAGUAAUGUCUGGGAAACUGCCUGAUGGAGGGGGAUAACUACUGGAAACGGUAGCUAAUACCGCAUACCAUCAGAUGUGCCCAGAUGGGAUUCGCUGGUUGGGGGGGUAACGACUCACCACGGCGACGAUCCCUAGCUGGUCUGAGAGGAUGACCGGCCACACUGGAACUGGGACACGGUCCAGACUCCUACGGGAGGCAGCAGUGGGGAAUAUUGCACAAUGGGCGCAAGCCUGAUGCAGCAAUGCCGCGUGGAGGAAGAAGGCCUUCGGGUGGAAAAGUACUUUCAGCGGGAAGGCGUUACCCGCAGAAGAAGCACCGGCUAACUCCGUGCCAGCAGCCGCGGUAAUUC
rnacentral:rRNA from 1 species